AGAUAUUUAUUUUAAUGAAAAAUUUUUAUUUGCAAAAUAAAAAGAUUUAUUAUCUU
rnacentral:tRNA from 1 species